rnacentral:rRNA from 1 species
UGAGUGAAGAUGGGUUUCGGCUCGUAAAGCUCUGUGGGUAAUGUAAAAAGAUUGAAGUCGUAACUGGCCUUUAUAUGACGGUAAUUUCUUAGAAAGUCUCGGCUACUUACUUUCCACGAGGCGGGGUAAUACGUAUGUGGCAAGCGUUGUUCGGAUUUAUCGGGCGUA